AGUGUAGCCCUGUGCUAUAUUUUCCUUUAAUUUUCUUUAAGUUAAAAGGUGUUAAUAAAUGUUUAAUGAUUUUGAAUGCAUUAUGCAGAAUGUUUCAUUUUCCUAUGGCCUGUAUUUUAUUUUCAUUUGAGUAUGUACGUUUUGGUUGUUUUCUUAAUGUGACCUUUGAACCGGAGGGUUAAAAGGUUGGAAGCUCGGCAGCUGAGGAAGGGUGAACCAGGAAGAGGACGGACGGCUACUGAGGAAGGGUGAACCAGGAAGAGGACGGACGGCUAGUGCGAACUCGUGAACCAUUUAUACCGGCUUAGAUCUAUGCAUGCAAUAAUACUCUGUCUAGGAUAUAGACUAGAGGUAUACUGUUUAGGUUGUCGGAUAGAUAACCACCACAUCAGUGAUCGUGUGUAUUGAUGUUCUUUCUGAGGUAUACAGGAGAUGCUGAACCUGCAUCCAGACGUGGACGCGGCGAAGCCUGAGUGCGGUUAAGUGGGAUGUGUGCCCAAAUAAGGAUCUUGCCGGUCGUUUGGAUAAGACGCCAGCAUAAGGAUCUUGCCGGUCGUUUUGGAUAAAACGCCAGCGUGGACCAAUCGGCACGAGGACCGCGACUUUCCGCUCGCUUCCACACGCACGCACACACACUCCGCCAAGUGAGGUGAAAGGUACAUUUGAUUGUUUGUUUGUUUGCUCCUGUGAGUGAAGCGGCCGUUCUGUUUUUGGCCUCCACGUACCCAAGCGACGACACAGGCCUGCAACGUGGGGAUAAAUAGUUCGUGCCGGCAUAGGACUGCAUUUUGAUUUCAACAUUUCCAAAAUGCAUGUGAUUUCAUCUGUCAAUUGAUUUACCUGUUUCUUGUGUGAAUUGAUUUACCUGUGGGUCGAUGCACUGAAUGAUUCUUGUUAACGUGUUAAUCGAAUGAAACCAUCUUUCAUAGUAACUUAUGUGUUUUUAUUGUCAUUACCAUGCAGUGAUUCCGAUACAUUAGGGGUUUAUUUCUACAAGACACUACAAUACAACUAAACAUAAAAUCGGGUAGAUUACCACAUAUAGCGUGUGGUCAGUUUAGUGUGAACUUGGGAGCGUCCCAAUUAACUUUUGGGUUAAUUAGAAUAUCAUGUUCAUAGCCAUGGCAUGGGGGCGCUACA
ensembl:lncRNA